CGACUGCCAGGUGUGCCAGCACCAGGAGCAGUGGAACCUGCGGAGACGGGAGGAGAGGGAGGAAUAGAAGACGGGCGGAGGUGGUGGAAACAGCCCUAGGAAUGGCGUGAGGGGACGUGGAGGCUAAGCAGAGCCUGGAGGUGGAGGAAGUGUGUUGCCGGCGCCCUGGGUUCAUUAGCUUUCCCCAGGAAGCCACUCAGCCUUGCAAGUGCCCCUAGGACUACAGCAGGUUCCUCAGGAUGUCACCGGGCAUCCAGCAGUGCUCUACCUCCUCAGUGCUUUCCAGAGGCCUAACUCCCACCACCCCAGCAUUGGGCGUCAUUCUUAUUCCUCAUGGGCAAAAUGCGCUUGGUGCACUAGAGUGAGAGAGGCAUCCAUGUACACACAGCUAGAGGCAGAACCGGCGCCCAGCACGUAACAGGUGCCCAGUAAUGUUUCCUGAAUUGAAGUGAAUUGGCUGAACCAGGGCAAGCAGGAAGGCCUUGCUUCUGACUUCCAGGCUGCACCACUCAGCCUCCCCAUCUUAUGUCUCAAAGACGGAAAAAUUGUGACUCAGAGAGGAAGAGUAACACAGGUGAUCAGUAGAAGAGCUGAAAUCCAACUCAAGUGUCGUAGUUCCCAGUUAGGGACUCUUUCUCUGACUUCCAGUCUACGCCAGCCUAAUAGUGAGAUUGAAGCUAAACACUUGGGUUCUACGUAAUCUUCCUCUCCUUGGAAGGUGCCCCAGAGCUAGGGACCUAGAGGCGGCCUGCAGGGAUCCACCUUCCUGGGCUACUCACCUGCCUGAAGCAUGCAAUUCCAGGUACUGCUUCCAACCAGGGCUCAGCACAUUGUGCUUGAGGUUGGG
rnacentral:lncRNA from 10 species